rnacentral:misc_RNA from 1 species
AAAAUAGGAAAAUAACUAAUCCUAAUGGAGAUAGGAAAUUGAAACAAAUCCUAAUUAAUAUAGAAAACUAUAUGAAACUAAAUCUGAUGUAGUAACUUGCUCAAAUAGGAAGUAGGGAAGUAGGGAUAAAGUAAGGAGCGAAAUUGGACUGCUUGGAGGUCAAGCUGGACAGAAAAAAACGAGGUCUCUGGUGGAGGUGCUGAGCAGUGCAUGUGGUCUUCUGUCCAGCAGUGUGAGGA